rnacentral:rRNA from 1 species
UCGCCUACGGGGGGCAGCAGUGGGGAAUAUUGCACAAUGGGCGAAAGCCUGAUGCAGCAACGCCGCGUGAAGGAAGAAGGGUUUCGGCUCGUAAACUUCUAUCAACAGGGACGAAAGAAAUGACGGUACCUGAAUAAGAAGCCCCGGCUAACUACGUGCCAGCAGCCGCGGAAAUACGUAGGUGGCAAGCGUUAUCCGGAUUUACUGGUUGUAAAGGGCGUGUAGGCGGGGAAGCAAG